UACAGAAAACUUGACAGUAGGAAUGACCUGCCUCAGGCUUCUACAACCUCCAGUCAAUCAUAAUCAGGCACCACUACUAUGUAUUGACUCGAAACAUCUGCCAAGUAAAAGAAUAGCCUGUGAGGUCACAAAAUUCAGCCUAGGCAGUGAAAUAAUGCAUGUAAAGCACUUAACUAACACAGCAAACAGGUAUUUCACCAACUUAUUUGCCUGGGAGAAGAGGAAUACAUGGGGACAUCUCAAUAUGUUUUCAUAAAACUUGGAAGAGUGACA